rnacentral:rRNA from 1 species
GACGAACGCUGGCGGCGUGCUUAACACAUGCAAGUCGAGCGGUAAGGCCCUUUCGGGGGUACACGAGCGGCGAACGGGUGAGUAACACGUGGGUGACCUGCCCCUUAGCUCUGGGAUAAGCCUGGGAAACUGGGUCUAAUACCGGAUAUGACUCCAUGACGCAUGUUGUGGGGUGGAAAGCCUUGUGCGGCUAGGGAUGGGCCCGCGGCCUAUCAGCUUGUUGGUGGGGUGAUGGCCUACCAAGGCGACGACGGGUAGCCGGCCUGAGAGGGCGACCGGCCACACUGGGACUGAGACACGGCCCAGACUCCUACGGGAGGCAGCAGUGGGAAUCUUGCGCAAUGGCGAAAGCCUGACGCAGCGACGCCGCGUGA